rnacentral:rRNA from 1 species
UACGAAGGUCCCAAGCGUUGUUCGGAAUCACUGGGCGUAAAGGGAGCGUAGGCGGCGCGGUAAGUCAGAUGUGAAAUCCCGGGGCUCAACCCCGGAACUGCAUCCGAUACUGCCGUGCUCGAGGAUUGGAGAGGUAGCUGGAAUUCUUGGUGUAGCAGUGAAAUGCGUGGAUAUCAAGAGGAACACUCGUGGCGAAAGCGAGCUACUGGACAACUCCUGACGCUGAGGCUCGAAGGCCAGGGGAGCAAACGGG